rnacentral:rRNA from 1 species
AACGAACGCUGGCGGCAUGCCUAACACAUGCAAGUCGAACGAGACCUUCGGGUCUGGUGGCGCACGGGUGCGUAACGCGUGGGAACCUGCCCUUAGGUUCGGAAUAACUCCCCGAAAGGGGUGCUAAUCCCGGAUAAUGUCUUCGGACCAAAGAUUUAUCGCCUUUGGAUGGGCCCGCGUUGGAUUAGCUAGUUGGUAGGGUAAAAGCCUACCAAGGCGACGAUCCAUAGCUGGUCUGAGAGGAUGAUCAGCCACACUGGGACUGAGACACGGCCCAGACUCCUACGGGAAGCCGCAGUGGGGAAUAUUGGACCAUGGGCGAAAGCCUGAUCCAGCCAUGCCGCGUGAGUGAUGCAGGCGUUAGGGUUGUAAAGCUCUUUUACCCGGGAUGAUAAUGACAGUACCGGGAGAAUAAGCUCCGGCUAACUCCGUG